GAUGAACGCUGGCUACAGGCUUAACACAUGCAAGUCGUGGGGAAACGGCAUUAUGUGCUUGCACAUUCUGGACGUCGACCGGCGCACGGGUGAGUAUCGCGUAUCCAACCUGCCCCUUACUUGGGGAUACCCCGUUGAAAGACGGCCUAAUACCCGAUGUGUUUCAUUGACGGCAUCCGAUAUGAAACAAAGGUUUUCCGGUAAGGGAUGGGGAUGCGUCUGAUUAGCUUGUUGGCGGGGCAACGGCCCACCAAGGCGACGAUCAGUAGGGGUUCUGAGAGGAAGGUCCCCCACAUUGGAACUGAGACACGGUCCAAACUCCUACGGGAGGCAGCAGUGAGGAAUAUUGGUCAAUGGACGCAAGUCUGAACCAGCCAAGUAGCGUGCAGGAUGACGGCCCUAUGGGUUGUAAACUGCUUUUAUGUGGGAAUAAAGUGGCGCACGUGUGCGCCAUUGCAUGUACCUCAUGAAUAAGGACCGGCUAAUUCCGUGCCAGCAGCCGCGGUAAUACGGAAGGUCCGGGCGUUAUCCGGAUUUAUUGGGUUUAAAGGGAGUGUAGGCGGUCUGUUAAGCGUGUUGUGAAAUUUAGGUGCUCAACAUUUAACUUGCAGCGCGAACUGUCAGACUUGAGUACACGCAGCGCAGGCGGAAUUCAUGGUGUAGCGGUGAAAUGCUUAGAUAUCAUGAGGAACUCCGAUCGCGAAGGCAACCUGCGGGAGUGUUACUGACGCUUAAGCUCGAAGGUGCGGGUAUCGAACAGG
rnacentral:rRNA from 1 species